rnacentral:lncRNA from 1 species
GGCACAAGCCAACACACCACACCACACCGCCGCGCCGCCUGUCUAGCGCACGAGCACGCCUUCGCUCUCCGACCGACAGCAUCAUCCCGGGAGCUCGUGCAUCACUGGCAGUCAAGUUCGCGGCCGUCGACGGAGCUCCAGCACCGAUCUGCGGCCCUGCACGUCGCCAACGCCAAGAACUCCGGCAUCGACAACAUGGCCACUUCCCUGCUCGUUGGUAACACAGGUUGAUAUAAUUUACUUGUCCUUUUCUUUCUUUCUUGUUGCAUGUUCCUUUCAGAUUGCACAUGGAGCCCCUGUACGUACUUGCCAUCACAAGCACUGUGAGAGGAGAUGCCGAACCUGCCACACGGGACGUCGUCGUCGCCAGCACGCCCUCAUCAACGCUCGCCACAGCAGGGCUCGCCGCUGUCACGUCCGUAGUGAUCUGAACCACCAGCGCCUCGCUGGAGCUCGUCCUCGAACAACCCACGCCGCUGGGUCCGUCUGCCUGCGACGAAUACCAGCUCCACCAUGCCAGCCGUUGGAGCUGCUCACGGCGCCAUCCGUCUGUGAGCUAAGGAAGUUGUCACUAUGGAGAGGACAUCGCCGAGGCCGUCAUAACACCAGCGAUGGCGUCCACGCUAAGACCGAACAACUGAAGGAAAAGCUCCACAGAUGCACUCCCAUAUGUGUUCAUGCGUGCAUUGAUGCACACGUGUCCAUGCAUGUAUGAAGUAUCAAUCAACAUGAAUAAGGUCCCACAAGUCUACGU